rnacentral:pre_miRNA from 1 species
AGGAGCAACAGCCCCAAUGGCGGGGCCAGCUCUGGAAACCUGGAUUCAGCUCCGGCAGGAACUCCAGAGCUCUCUGUCUGCAGGGCCUGGAGGCUCCGGGGCGGG